GAUGAACGCUGGCGGCGUGCUUAACACAUGCAAGUCGAACGGAAAGGCCCUGCUUUUGUGGGGUGCUCGAGUGGCGAACGGGUGAGUAACACGUGAGUAACCUGCCCUUGACUUUGGGAUAACUUCAGGAAACUGGGGCUAAUACCGGAUAGGAGCUCCUGCUGCAUGGUGGGGGUUGGAAAGUUUCGGCGGUUGGGGAUGGACUCGCGGCUUAUCAGCUUGUUGGUGGGGUAGUGGCUUACCAAGGCUUUGACGGGUAGCCGGCCUGAGAGGGCGACCGGCCACAUUGGGACUGAGAUACGGCCCAGACUCCUACGGGAGGCAGCAGUGGGGAAUAUUGCACAAUGGGCGGAAGCCUGAUGCAGCAACGCCGCGUGCGGGAUGACGGCCUUCGGGUUGUAAACCGCUUUCGCCUGUGACGAAGCGUGAGUGACGGUAAUGGGUAAAGAAGCACCGGCUAACUACGUG
rnacentral:rRNA from 1 species